GGGAGUUAUAUUUUCAAUCUAUUACUUAAUAGUUUUAUUUUUUACUCUAUUUUUUCAGUUGAUGUCAUGACAUUAUUUGGUCAUGUAAAUGUGUUUCCUGGUUAAUCUUCAUUCUGAAUCACUUGAUAUAAAUCUUGAUGAUGUCUCCCUAAUAAAGUUCGUGGUUGUACAUUUUGGACUAAAUCAAAGGAGAACUACAAUGUAACAGAGAUAUAGAUGAGGUAGGAGGACAGAGGCAGAAUAUAGAAAGUCAAAGAGACAAGCAGCCUCCACUGUGGAUUCUUACUAUGGCUGCUUUUUGAACCACAAUAAGUGCUGAAGGCAGUGAUGACAAGCAAGACUAAGUAGAUCUUAAAGUGAUGCAGUGUUGAAAAUGGAGACUUGAAGCAGAAACAAAAUGAAGGCAUUAUGGUCCCUGAAGAAAAGGGUGAUGCUAAUAAAAUGGCACCAGGAGAUAGCCCA
rnacentral:lncRNA from 1 species